rnacentral:rRNA from 1 species
GACGAACGCUGGCGGCAUGCCUAAUACAUGCAAGUCGAGCGAACAGAUGAAGUGCUUGCACUUUUGACGUUAGCGGCGAACGGGUGAGUAACACGUAAGGAAUCUACCUAUAAGCGGGGGAUAACAUUCGGAAACGGGUGCUAAUACCGCAUAAUAUCUUCUUCCGCAUGGAAGAAGAUUGAAAGACGGCUCUGCUGUCACUUAUAGAUGACCUUGCGGUGCAUUAGUUAGUUGGUGGGGUAACGGCCUACCAAGACGAUGAUGCAUAGCCGACCUGAGAGGGUGAUCGGCCACAUUGGGACUGUGACACGGCCCAAACUCCUACGGGAGGCAGCAGUAGGGAAUCUUCCGCAAUGGGCGAAAGCCUGACGGAGCGAUGCCGCGUGAGUGAAGAAGGCCUUCGGGUCGUAAAACUCUGUUAUAAGAGAAGAACAAAUUGUAGAGUAACUGCUACAGUCUUGACGGUAUCUUAUCAGAAAGCCACGGCUAACUACGUGCCAGCAGCCGCCGUAA